rnacentral:rRNA from 1 species
UACGUAGGGUGCGAGCGUUAAUCGGAAUUACUGGGCGUAAAGCGUGCGCAGGCGGCUUUGCAAGACAGAUGUGAAAUCCCCGGGCUCAACUUGGGAACUGCAUUUGUGACUGCAAGGCUAGAGUACGGCAGAGGGGGAUGGAAUUCCGCGUGUAGCAGUGAAAUGCGUAGAUAUGCGGAGGAACACCAAUGGCGAAGGCAAUCCCCUGGGCCUGUACUGACGCUCAUGCACGAAAGCGUGGGGAGCAAACAGG